rnacentral:rRNA from 1 species
UACAGAGGGGGCAAGCGUUAUUCGGAAUUAUUGGGCGUAAAGGGCGCGUAGGCGGCUUGGCAAGUGGAAGGUGAAAUCCCUCGGCUUAACCAAGGAAGUGCAUCCGAAACUGCAGAGCUUGAGUACUUAAGAGGAUCGCGGAAUUCCCGGUGUAGAGGUGAAAUUCGUAGAUAUCGGGAGGAACACCAGUGGCGAAGGCGGCGAUCUGGGAAGAUACUGACGCUGAGGUGCGAAAGCGUGGGGAGCAAACAGG